rnacentral:rRNA from 1 species
GACGAACGCUGGCGGCGUGCUUAACACAUGCAAGUCGAACGGAAAGGCCCUGCUUUUGUGGGGUGCUCGAGUGGCGAACGGGUGAGUAACACGUGAGUAACCUGCCCUUGACUUUGGGAUAACUUCAGGAAACUGGGGCUAAUACCGGAUAGGAGCUCCUGCUGCAUGGUGGGGGUUGGAAAGUUUCGGCGGUUGGGGAUAGACUCGCGGCUUAUCAGCUUGUUGGUGGGGUAGUGGCUUACCAAGGCUUUGACGGGUAGCCGGCCUGAGAGGGUGACCGGCCACAGUGGGACUGAGAUACGGCCCAGACUCCUACGGGAGGCAGCAGUGGGGAAUAGUGCACAAUGGGCGGAAGCCGGAUGCAGCAACGCCGCGUGCGGGAUGACGGCCUUCGGGUUGUAAACCGCUUUCGCCUGUGACGAAGCGUGAGUGACGGUAAUGGGUAAAGAAGCACCGGCUAACUACGUG